UACGUAGGGGGCAAGCGUUAUCCGGAUUUACUGGGUGUAAAGGGAGCGUAGACGGCGAGACAAGUCUGAAGUGAAAACCCGGGGCUCAACCCUGGGACUGCUUUGGAAACUGCCUGGCUGGAGUGCAGGAGAGGUAAGUGGAAUUCCUAGUGUAGCGGUGAAAUGCGUAGAUAUUAGGAGGAACACCAGUGGCGAAGGCGGCUUACUGGACUGUAACUGACGUUGAGGCUCGAAAGCGUGGGGAGCAAACAGG
rnacentral:rRNA from 1 species